rnacentral:rRNA from 1 species
CAAGAGCGUAUAUUAAAGUUGUUGCAGUUAAAAGCUCGUAGUUGGAUUUCUGGUACAAUGCGCCUGGCCCGCGGCAGUAAUGCCUGUGAGUGCCGGUGCGCGUUGGCCAUCCUUCUAGAAAACGUUUCUACCAUUAACUUGGCUGGACUCGCGAUCUAGAUCUUUUUACUUUUGAAAAAAUUUAGAGUGUUCAAAGCAGGCUAUUGCCUUGAAUACAUUAGCAUGGAAUAAUAAUCUAGGACUUCGGUUCUAUUUUGUUGGUUUCUAGUACUGAAGUAAUGAUUGAUAGGGAUAGUUGGGGGUGCUAGUAUUGACCGGCCAGAGGUGAAAUUCUUGGAUUCGGUCAAGACUAACUUAUGCGAAAGCAUUCACCAAGGAUGUCUUCUUUAAUCAAGAACGAAAGUUGGGGGAUCGAAGACGAUCAGAUACCG